GACGAACGCUGGCGGCGUGCUUAACACAUGCAAGUCGAACGGAAAGGCCCUGCUUUUGUGGGGUGCUCGAGUGGCGAACGGGUGAGUAACACGUGAGUAACCUGUCCUUGACUUUGGGAUAACUUCAGGAAACUGGGGCUAAUACCGGAUAGGAGCUCCUGCUGCAUGGUGGGGGUUGGAAAGUUUCGGCGGUUGGGGAUGGACUCGCGGCUUAUCAGCUUGUUGGUGGGGUAGUGGCUUACCAAGGGUUUGACGGGUAGCCGGCCUGAGAGGGUGACCGGGCCACAUGGGAAUGAGAGAAGGGCCAGGACUCAAAGGGAGGCAAGGGGGGGGAAUUUUUGAAAAUGGGGCGAAGUCCUGGUUAAACACCGCGGGGGGGGGAAGAACGGCUUUCGGGUUGAAAACGCCUUUCGCUGGGAACAAGGGGUAAUGGCGGUAAAGGGUUAAGAAGCAACGGCUAACUAAGUG
rnacentral:rRNA from 1 species